GUGAUGUUUGCUCGGACGUUUUAACACGGGAUGGGGAAAUACACGGGGAAAUCUGGCACACGCCCAGUUUCCACUUCAUUAUUUUCUGCAAACACGGAGUUGGGGAUUUUCCUAUCUAGCUCACAAUUUAUGCUCCCAGUGGGGAGUUCAGAACACCACACUCCGGACCCGCUGGAAGAGAGCGUUCUGGGGACAGCAGCAGGCGAAGCCCACGCAGCCUGCGCACGGAGGCUUUGACUGGAUGGUUCAGAAUGUGGAAACUGGAAGAGAGAUGCCACUCCUGCUAUAAGUGAAGAUCAGAUUCAUGACCUCCUGAGGAACAUGAACACCCAUAAGUCUAUGAGCCCUGAGGAGAUGCAUCCCGGAGUCCUGAAGGAAUUGGCAGACAUAGUUGCCAAGCCACUCUUGAUGAUCUUUGAAAAGUCAUGGUGGUCAGAUGAAGUCUCUGGUGACGAUGACAAAAGGCAAUAUCACACCCAUAUUUAAGAAGGGUAGAAAGGAUGACCUAGGGAACUAUGAACCUAUUAGCUUCACAUCUGUGCUGAGGAAGAUAAUGGAACAGAUCCUUCUGGUAGCUACGCUAAGGCAUCUGGAAGAGCAGGAGGUGAUAUGGGGCAACCAGCAUGGCUUCACCAAGGGGAGGUUCUGCCUGACCAACUUCAUUGCUUUUUAUGACGGUGUAAGUGUGUCUGUGGACAAGGGAAGAGCCACUGAUGUCAUUUAUUUGGACUUCAGUAAGACCUUUGCCACAGCUUCCCGUAACAUCCUUUUCUCCAAAUUGGAAAGACAUGGAUUUGAUGGGUGAACUCUUUGAUGGACAAGAAUCUGGUUUUGAGAUUAAGAGAUGAGGCUCCUAGGACCAGCUACAUGCACUCUGUCUGGGGCAGCUUCACAAGCUAUUGUGAAACUGCUUUUCUAUGUGUUUUCUCAUUUCCAAACCAAGAAACAAGGUAAAAGCAUUGAAUAUGAUCUUGGACAAGAAAGGUUCUCUGUAGCACUGCACUGGUGAAAAUUGGUAGGAUUUAGUUAACGAUUACAUAUUAAAUUUCCAAGUUAUACAGUUUGAUCUCAUUUAAUAAAUAUUUUCUUGAUUUUCUUCUGAUGUUAAUAACUUAAUCAGAAUGUAAUAUGGUAUCAGUGUUGCACAGGUGUGUGAAAGCAAUUAUUUUGUCUUAUAUAUUUAUAUAUACUUACCUUUAUUAAAUAGACCAAAUUAUGGAACUUCUGAUCUCAUAAAAAUACUAUGCAAUUUGUUUAACUUAACCUGUUUUGCAUAAAAUCACGUCGACUGACAGUAAUUAUGUUACCAUUUCUUAUUUCCUUAUGGACAGAGUCCCGAAUCAGCUGUUCCAUUCUUCUGCACAGAACCAAGGUCAAGUUAGCUCAUCUACAAUUACCCUGUUUACACUUAUGAAAUAGCAGUGCAGCAUUGGAUAUUUCCUGGCUCCUUUGAUUUCCACAGUAUGCCAAGGCUGUUUGCCAGAAAGCACCAGUACAAGAUUCCUUUUAAAAGCUUUAAAUAAGUUACCCACUCCUGCCAGUUAUAGAAGUUAAUAGAUGCUCUUUACCAUUCACUUAAAAAAAUAUCAAAAUAGAUGGUAUUUCAGCAAUACAGACUCUGUUUUCAUUUCUAAAUGCAAAAUGUAAAUAUUCACGGAAUGCUUCUUUUUUUUUCCCCCAGAUAGCAAUGGAGCUGUGUCAUCACUGGGAUUACUUUUGCCCUGAACAGUCCUUCGCAAAUGAAAAAUAAAGCAAAGAAAUGUUCUUAUUUUUUAUCUCUACUUCUGCAUAAAUGUAGUUUACAUACCACUAUACUGCAUUUAUUAAUGUAUGAAAUUUGUUAAUUUUGUAAGUGUCCAUGAGUUUUCAGUUGCUUUAAUGACAAUUGUUAUCCAUAAUUGCAUUUCAAUCAUUCUAUUGCAUGUACAUGCUUCUUACAAUAAUACUAAUAUACUCUUCUGUACACUUACUGUAAUACACGUACUAAUCAACACUGUAUCAACUGUAUCAACAAUUCUGUAUAUACAUCUUUAAUCAGAUCACUGUCAUGUACUUCCUGACAAGUGCUAGUUUUAAGCUUAGUAACCAGUGGCUUUCAUGACUCAGAAUGGAGCAUAAUGCAGUAUUACCUGAUUUUCUUUGUGACAGAGAUUUCAGUCUGUAUGUUUUAGAGGAUCUAGGGCACUGUAGGUAACACAGAACAAGAUCAUUAGCAAGUACUAUUGUAUUAGAAACUUUUUAGUGACAGCAUUUCUUUCUUCAUAGAUAUUUGUUCUUGCUUACAGAAAUUACACAGAGCGGAAAUGAUCUCACCUUACUUGAUAACACAGAUAUCCAGAUCUAAGCUCGUCAUUCCCUAGGGUGUACAUGCCUCUGUCCAUAGUGAAAAACAGACAUUUUAGAGCUCUUUGAAUAUGACCUAUUUUAGAUGCUUACACUAGAAUGGAAUGAAUCAUGCCUUAGAAUGCUUUUUUUUCCCCGUAGAAAACAGAGGGAGACCAGAGUGAUUAGUCCUGAUCCAGUUCUUUGCACUGCAGUGAUGUACAUCUGGUCAAUUCUUACUACUGAACAAAAAAAUGCUGGUUAUAUAAUUAUGAGGGAAAAGUAAAGAAGCAGCUGAACCUGUGAAUCUUCAAGAUUAAAAAAAAAAAAAAAGCCAUUGCUUUUCUUCACAAAAAUAACAAACUGGACUAUGAUUCUAAGAGUACUUAAUUAUUUUUAGUUAAGUUAGAUGAAAGAAUUUGAAGUUCAUAAGUAAACAGCUUUGCAAUAAGUAAUAAUUCUAGAAGUAGAUAUUACCAAACCUUAAGGUUACUGUAUGUCAUAUGAAUCAUAUUAAUCCAGUCAAUAAAGCAUUCUCUAAUUCCAGUAGCUAUUAAUUAAAUUAAUUUGUUCUAUUUUUCUUUGCUCUACCCAAACAUUACUUUUACUACUCUUGAAAAAAUUAUUUUUUAAAGUUUCUAAAAUUCUAAAAUAUGUUUGAAAUUUAAAGUUUAAGGUGGAUUUUUUUCCAUUUACAAGUAAAUGACAAGGGUAUGUACAAUUUGUUAGAGAUCUAUCUGAAGGUAUGUGUUGAACCUGAUUUCAAGUAUCUAUUGUAUUAGCUUAUCAGUUUAGGAAAAGAUUUCAGCAUGCCGAAUGUGUACAAACAGUGAGAUCGCUUCAAAUGGCUUUGGCCAAUGGGUGAAGAAUUUCUUUAGCAUUUGACAGUUCUGCUCUAGUGAUGAAGAGGCAGGAAGUCCUUGGAAUGAACUAUUGGAUUUCAUUUGUUUUGUAACACAGGUUUUUUAAAUUCACUCAUGGGCUCACCAACACGAUCUAGAUAAACAUCAAUAUAUUCAUUAAACUUUGAAUUUGAACAAAGUUACUGGAUCAUCAGGUAGAAGAACUCUAGAAAUAACAAUACAUUGCAAAUAAACUCUAGGUAAGUAAAAAUCCAAUGUUAGAAAAUGCCUUUCCUAUUGUUGAUGUUAUUUAUUUGUUUCCUUUACAGAUUGAAGGCAUUUGCAGUGUUGACCAGUUCUCCUCUGCUUAUAUAAACUGUGACAACAAAGCAUGUGGACUAGCUAAAACUUUCUCACUACCUAUCACUGUGGAUAGGAAAACCUGUCAUGCAGGCCUUUAAGCAAAUCCCUCAAAGACUUAAUCAUGCACAACAUCAGAGGUUCUUGUUGCAUGUGUGUCUCUACCAACCAGGGACUUGAAGGAAACAACAAUCCAUGAGAUAUGUAUCAUUUGCUACAAAUUAUGCAACCGUGCCAAAUGCUUGAAUACCUCUGAAGCACAUUGCGUUAUGCCAAGGACUCCCCACCUAUCUGAGCCCUGUAGAUCUCAAGAGUAAUUGAAUUUGUUGAUGCAGUUAUAGAGUACAGAAUUCUUCCAUUUAUAUGGCUAGCAACGGACUCACAGUUCUCUUAGUAUUGGAUGUACUUAAACUGCAGCCUUCUUGUCCUCACUUGGUUAUGGCCACACUGCCUCUUUUGCUGAGUAUGGCAAGAACUAAUUAAUUUAAGAAUUAAUGCAAGAGUAUGUCUUAUAAAGAUGUCCCUCUAUAUGUAAUACACAGCAUUUCUACCACAACAGAUGUUUUGUCAAAGGUUUCAAAAUGCAUAUGUAUCUCCAUUUUACACGCAGUCUUCAGAAAGACAUCUGCACACCUAUGUGGUUUCCAGGAUUAACUUGCUUUAGCGUUCCUACCUUCUGUAGGAACAACUGAGGGAUUAUCAUAAGCAUUAUGGUUUCUGGUCACUUCUGGAUCUUUGACCCAAAUAACGUAUUUCUGAGUUGGUUAUGGGUAGCCUUCACCACAAAUUAAAAGCAGCUCUUGUAUUUAUGUAUCCUGAUGGAUGGCAAAAUGUCCAUCCAUCUCUUAUUCUGUAAUACAUAUCGUCUCCAUACAAAGAUGAUCUUCCUCGAGUGGCUAGUGUCUAACAUCAUUAGCACCUAUAGCUUCGGAUAUGAAAACUAAAAUACUUCAGUGUGCAAUACCACAGUCUCACUUCCUGUAAAUGUAAAAUAACCCUCAUAUGAAAUCUGCCAAACUGCUCUUGAUCACUGUUGUCCCUGUCUCCCAUUCUACCAUUUAGUGCAGAUUUAUACCUAUCCAAUGUGGCAACUCCUGCAUGGCCUAAUGAAUAGAACGCAGCUUUAUUUUAAUGGCAAGUACAAGAUAGAAAAAAAAUGAUGGAAUGAUUUUCCUGGCUCAUUUUCAUUAUGCUUCAGCUUUGGACUGAACUUUAAAAGGUAAAUCACCCAACUCUUGACUACACAAGCAUUUAAAUAACUACAGAGAUUCUUAGCAUUUUUUACCUUUGGUGACUGUGGAUUCAUGUUGACUUUAAACUGACUUAAGGGUAUUAGAAAAGAAAUUUUCAGGCAAAGAUAAUACUCUGUUGUGGAAUGGAUAUUGAGCAAUUAGGGAAAGAAGAAUAUUUUAUCAUUCUUGUCACAGAGGCUAUUUCUUGGGCAAUGGCUACCUGCUCCUUUUUAUCUUUCCCACCCAUGCCAUAUUGCAGCAAAUGUGGCCGCAGGUGCCUACACUGGAUGAACACCUGCCCAAUCUGCGCAAGAAGGAAAGGAAAUCAAGGGAUGUCAUGCUCACUAGUUUUGUGUACUCAACUCAGGAGAGUGACAGAAAGGAGAAAUGAGAAGACAGUUAAAUUUAGCAUGAUUAAGAAGAGAGAGUAGAAUAAAAUGGCUGUGACCUUCAGAAGCAGCUUUUGCAGGAGAUGGAGAGCAGGUAAGUCUAAACACACUUUUUUCAAAGGCAGAACACCACUUUCUGUGUCUGUCAGCCUUUCUAUAACAAUGCAUCUACUACAGUGAGCUGACAGAAACCUUACAAAGUUCAACAGAGUCCUGCACCUAGGGAGAAACAAGCACAGGCACCAGGACAUGCUGGGGCCACCCAGCUGAAAAGCAGCUCUGCAGCAGAGGACAUGGGGACAGAGUGGUGGGGACACCACUCUGGACAUGAGUAAGCAGCGUGCCCUUGCUGCUAAGAAGGCCAAUGGUAUCCUGAGCUGCAUUAGGCAAAGAAUUGCCAACAGAUCAAGAGAGGUGAUCCUUCCCCUAUACACAGCCCCAGUAAGGCUGGAGCAAUGUGUCCAGCUCUGGGUCUCCAAUAUGGGAGAGACACGAAUGUAAUGGAAAGGGUCCAAAGAGGCAUAACCAAGAUGGUCUGGGACUGGAGCACCUCUCCAGUGAGGAGAAUCUCAUCAGUGUCUGUAAAUACCCAAACAGAAGAUGCAAAGAAGAUGGAGCCAGGCUCUUCUCAGUGGUGCUCAGUGUCAGUACAAGAGACAAACUGUAACACAGAGGCUCCCUCUGAACACCAGGAAGCAGUUCUGCACUGUCGGGUGAUGGAGCACCAUCAUGGGCUGCCCAAAGGCUGUGGGUUCUCCUCCUUGGGGAUCUCCAGAAGCCACCUGGUUGUGGGCCCAGGCAGCCUGUAAAUCUGUGUAGUGGCUUUUUACACCAGUUUGCAGGUAAAAUUUUGUCCUUUCUCAUUCCAUGUUGCAAAACAACAAAUAAAAUAUGUUUUGUGUGAAACUACAUAAGCUCAUUCUUUUACCCUCAGAGAUAGAUCCUUUAUAUAGUUCCAUAGAAUAUUUAUCCCUGCUUUCUUGCCUUAACUACCUUAUAAUUUCUGCAAUUAUUUUUGUAACAUUACUAUAUAAAAAGCUUUACAGAAUUCAAUAAAUUCCCUGUGUGAU
ensembl:lncRNA